rnacentral:rRNA from 1 species
CAGCAGCCACGGUAAUACGUAGGGGGCAAGCGUUAUCCGGAAUUACUGGGUGUAAAGGGAGCGUAGACGGUUAAACAAGUCUGAAGUGAAAUGCCGGGGCUCAACCCCGGAGCUGCUUUGGGAACUGUAGAACUGGAGUGUCGGAGGGGUAAGCGGAAUUCCCAGUGUAGCGGUGAAAUGCGUAGAUAUUGGGAGGAACACCGGCGGCGAAGGCGGCUUACUGGACGACAACUGACGCUGAGGCUCGAAGGCGUGGGUAGCAAACAGGAUUAGAUACCCCAGUAGUCCCUGUCUCUUAUAC